UUGAGUGUGGCCAGCCAACUGUAUAUUAUCUGUGUUGUAGUUGAGCCACGACUCUGUGAAACAUAAGAUAUUACCGUUUUUAAUGUCCCGUUGGUAGGAUAGUCUCGAAUGGAGCUCAUCGUUUAUUCUCCGGUGAUUGGACGUUGGCCAAUAGAACAGACGGUACAGGCGGAUUACCCACUCACCAACAAAUUCUCACAAGGUACCCCGAUCUCCGCCCACUGUACCUCCAUCUUUUCUUCACGUGAAUAACAAGGAUUUGAGCCUAGUCUUGGAGAAACAGGUGAGAGUUCCCUCAGUGCAGCUGUUUGGGAUGGAUUAAGGGGCAGAGGAGCGGUUGGUGCCCUUCAGCAGCUGGAAGUGCAACAGUGAAAGCCCGGAGUUGAAGAGAGAAUACCUACAGCCACAUUGGGAGGCACAUCAGGAUCUCUAUACGAAACCUACGGACAGGAACACACUCAGAGGUGACAGCUUUCAUCCACGUCCACUUAUUAAAAGUCUCCCUAUAUGUCAAUUCAGUCGUAUCAGAAGAAAAUGCCGCUCUGAUGCCUCUUAUCCGAACCAGACCACGGACCUCACGCAAAGGUUUAAGGAAAUGCGGUACAAAGACAAUUGGGUAAAACAUGCCAAUGAUCAGUUUGAAGGACACAGUUAGAAAGCCUUCAAACCAAAGUUCAAGAAAAAGCAGAACAUUUCCCAUCAUGCUUCACCCAAUACUCACCGAUACUGAAACAUUGGGGAAGGCAUUUAAGGACAUUAUCAGGAAGGACUGGUACAUUAUUGAUACUGACCCACAAUUGAAACCCAUUUUUAAAUAUCCUCACAUACGGUCUUUAAAAAGACGCACACACGUGAGAGACAUCGUGGUUAAAUCUGAUUUACCCACCAGAGAAAAGGGAGACUUUCCGGAGGGUAAUUACAAAUGUGGCCAAUGAGCUCAAUGCAGCUUCACGUACAAAUGCAACUAGAAAUGGUCAAGAUGUCACGCAGGGGAGGGGACAUUGAGAGGAAACUUCUUCAAAGGGAAUCUUUCUGGAUCCACAGGCUCAGCAAACUGUCUCCUCUUGGCCUUAACAAGGAAUUUGACUUCAAACCGUUUUUAUAGUUUCAAUAAGUCCAAAUGUUUUUUUUUUUUAAUCCUAAUUGAAUAUUGUAUGUGUAUGUAUAUUACUGUAAAUAUUGAUCACAUUCCUUGUGUAUGUAUCACGCCCUGCUCUGUUUCACCUGUCUUUGUGCUUGUCUCCACCCCCCACCAUGUGUCUCCCAUUUGUCCCCAUUAUCCCCUGUGUAUUUAUACCUGUGUUUUCUGUUUGUCUGUUGCCAGUUCGUCUUGUCCCGUCAAGUAUUACCAGCGUGUUUUCCCGGUUUCGAGUCUUUCUAGUUAUUGUUUUCUAGUCUUCCCGGUUCUGACCAUUCUGCCUGCCUGCCGUUCUGUACCUCAUUGACUCUGCCCUGGACUACUGACCAAUCUGCCUGCCCUGACCCUGAGUCUGCUUACCAUUCUGUACCUCAUUGACUCUGCCCUGGACUACUGACCUCUGCCUGCCCUGACCCUGAGUCUGCUUACCAUUCUGUACCUCAUUGACUCUGCCCUGGACUACUGACCUCUGCCUGCCCUGACCCUGAGUCUGCUUACCAUUCUGUACCUCUUUGACUCUGCCCUGGAUUACUGACCUCUGCCUGCCCUCGACCUGCCCUGCCCUGGCCUGUCCCCUUGUAUAAUAAAUAUUAUGAGAACUGUACUCUCUGCCUCCUCCUCUGCAUCUGGGUCAUAUCCUGAGUCG